GGCUCACACUUCUCUGCUUCUUUGUCCUUUUUCUUGGUUGCAUGAUAAGGUAAAGGGUGGCAUCGGGAGCAAGAGACCAACAGCGUGGAAGGCGCAUCGCACCUUCCUUCACCCACUAUCUUCUCUUUUUCUUUCUUUGGCCAUUAAGAAACGAGAGGAAAUGGUGGUGGUAGGUAGAGCCUCCUGUGUGUCUCUCUCAUUCUCUC
rnacentral:lncRNA from 1 species